UACGUAGGGUGCGAGCGUUAAUCGGAAUUACUGGGCGUAAAGCGUGCGCAGGCGGUUCGUUGUGUCGGCGGUGAAAGCCCCGGGCUCAACCUGGGAAUGGCCGUUGAAACUGGCGAACUGGAGUGUGGCAGAGGGGGGUGGAAUUCCGCGUGUAGCAGUGAAAUGCGUAGAGAUGCGGAGGAACACCAAUUGCGAAGGCAGCUGGCUACGCAUAUAUUGACACUGAGGCACGAAAGCGUGGGGAUCAAACAGG
rnacentral:rRNA from 1 species